UCUAAUUGCAAACGUUUGAAAUGACGAUGAUCUUGAUUUUGUUGAUUUAUACAUGCAUGGUAGACAUGCUCUAAGCUCAAGCAAUCCUGGAAAGACGGAGUCUGUUUAGUUUCAAGAAUUUGAGGGAUAGGACCACAAUUGGACCCUUUCAGCUUCCUAGAUGUCACAAUAAACUCACUAGAGAUGAGAAUAAACUCAAAACCAGAAUUUCUCUCUCAUCUUGUCAAUCCAUGGAAAAUCAC